rnacentral:rRNA from 1 species
CUUGACUCUAGUCCGACUUUGUGAAGAGACAUGAGAGGUGUAGCAUAGGUGGGAGCUCCGGCAAAGUUGAAAUACCACUACUUUUAUCGUUUCUUUACUUAUUCAGUUAAGCGGAGAGCGGGGCGCAAGCUCCUCGAUUCUGGAAUUAAGCUCCCGGCCUCGCAGUCGGGGGUGAUCCGCUCUGAAGACAGUGUCAGGCGGGGAGUUUGACUGGGGCGGUACAUCUGUCAAAAGGUAACGCAGGUGUCCUAAGGUGAGCUCAGUGAGGACGGAAACCUCACGUAGAGUAAAAGGGCAAAAGCUCACUUGAUUUUGAUUUUCAGUACGAAUACAGACCGUGAAAGCGUGGCCUAUCGAUCCUUUUGACUUUAAGAGUUUUAAGCAAGAGGUGUCAGAAAAGUUACCACAGGGA